rnacentral:rRNA from 1 species
UACGUAGGGGGCAAGCGUUGUCCGGAAUCAUUGGGCGUAAAGCGCGUGUAGGCGGCUUGGUAAGUCUGCUCUGAAAGCCCCGGGCUCAACCUGGGAAUGGCAUUUGAGACUGCAUAGCUAGGGUGCGGAAGAGGGAAGCGGAAUUUCCGGUGUAGCGGUGAAAUGCGUAGAUAUCUGGAGGAACACCGGUGGCGAAGGCGGCAUCCUGGACCGGCAUUGACGCUGAGGCGCGAAAGCCAGGGGAGCAAACGGG